GAGGCUUAAUCUGAGAAUUAAGAAGUUUGGUACACUUACAGAUGAAGAAUUCAGAAAAUCAUCAGGAAAUUCUUGCUUUGGAUUCAAUAUGUCAACUGGCAAAGAAGUCAACAUCGAUGUGGUUUGCAGUUUCCCUUUCUCGCUUAGCAGUAAAGUACCAAAGACAUGACUUUUCAACUACUCUACAUUUUCCAACCUUCUGUAUAGGUAAGUGUGACUUACUGCCUAAUUUCUUGCCUGUAUAAUGUUUUUAGCUGGGGACCUUAAGAAAUAAACAGGCUACCUCCAUUCUCUUUCUCCUUCCUGUAAACCAAAACAAGAAUGUGCCUGUGACCUGGUUUUGUGGGGGUGACACUGAAACAAGAUGGAAGGAACCUGGGUUCCUGAGUAACAAUGUGAAUGAGAGUCCACAUAUCCACCUGGAAUAGGCAGCCUAUUACCUGUCAUUUUGAACUACUGUAUUUUUAGUUUUCAUUGUUGCACAUCUAAUGCUUCCCUAAACUGGUAAUACAGCUAAGCUUAUUUGAGUGUAAAUGGCAGAAAACGAAAAAGAAAAGACAAAUUACUUUUAAAGGAGCUGCAGUUAUUAACAGAAGCAAACUUUCCUCCAAAAGUUACCACUAUAUUGAAUU